rnacentral:rRNA from 1 species
AUGCACGCUGGCGGCGUGCCUAAUACAUGCAAGUCGAGCGAACGGACGAGAAGCUUGCUUCUCUGAUGUUAGCGGCGGACGGGUGAGUAACACGUGGAUAACCUACCUAUAAGACUGGGAUAACUUCGGGAAACCGGAGCUAAUACCGGAUGAUAUUUUGAACCGCAUGGUUCAAAAGUGAAAGACGGUCUUGCUGUCACUUAUAGAUGGAUCCGCGCUGCAUUAGCUAGUUGGUAAGGUAACGGCUUACCAAGGCAACGAUGCAUAGCCGACCUGAGAGGGUGAUCGGCCACACUGGAACUGAGACACGGUCCAGACUCCUACGGGAGGCAGCAGUAGGGAAUCUUCCGCAAAGGGCGAAAGCCUGACGGAGCAACGCCGCGUGAGUGAUGAAGGUCUUCGGAUCGUAAAACUCUGUUAUUAGGGAAGAACAUAUGUGUAAGUAACUGUGCACAUCUUGACGGUACCUAAUCAGAAAGCCACGGCUAACUACGUG